rnacentral:rRNA from 1 species
AGCACCGGCUAACUACGUGCCAGCAGCCGCGGUAAUACGUAGGGUGCAAGUGUUGUCCGGAAUUAUUGGGAGUAAAGAGCUAGUAGGCGGUUUGUCGCGUCUGCUGUGAAAUCAGGAGGCUCAACCUGGGGCUUGCAGUGGGUACGGGCAGACUAGAGUGCGGUAGGGGAGAUUGAAAUUCCUGGUGUAGCGGUGGAAUGCGCAGAUAUCAGGAGGAACAACGAUGGAGAAGGCAGAUCUCUGGGCCGUAACUGACGCUGAGGAGCGAAAGCAUGGGGAGCGAACAGGAUUAGAUACCCUGGUAGUCCAUGCCGUAAACGUUGGGCGCUAGAUG